ensembl:rRNA 5S_rRNA 5S ribosomal RNA
AUCUAUGGCCAUACCACCCUGAAUACAUGUGAUCUGAUCUGAUCUCAGAAAUGCAACAAGGUUGGUCCUGGUUAGUACUUGGAUGGGAGAAACUUUGUACUCUUAAGCCUGAGAUG